AUUACGGUACUACGCCACUCCCCUUCUUCUCUAUGAAGAAGACUCGUUCAAUUUCAGAUUCACCGUUCUUUCCAGUGGCAUGCGUCUCUUGUUCACCUUCGCCUUCUCCAAGAUGAUGCCCGCCUUCAAGCAGGACUUUCAUUCCAGAUUACUGAAGAGAGCUUGCGAAAUGCUUCGAUCAACUCGUAUAAGUUAAUUUGGCGAUGGAUAAGGUAGCCGAUUGACCAAGAGGAUUUGCCUUCCUCCGUUAUGCUACUGAAGAGGAAUCUCAAAAAGCUAUUGAAAGAAUGCACCGCCAGGUAAUUUAAAACCUCCAUCUCUGCAAUCUCCACUCUGCCUAACCUCUUACAAAUGCGUUUAGUCUUCAUAAUUUAUAUUUUUGUUGACUUAAUCGCCAAAAUUCACUUGAUGCUCAAAGUGUGCGUCGCGAAGUGAUGUCUCAUUUGAAUUAGCCAAUCUUAAUGCUCUUUUCUUAUUCACUGUGAUUUUGUAAUGAAUGUGAUUCGCUGUCCACAAGUA